CCCCGGGCUCAACCUAGGAACUGCGUUNUGAACUGGGUGACUAGAGUGUGUCAGAGGGAGGUAGAAUUCCACGUGUAGCAGUGAAAUGCGUAGAGAUGUGGAGGAAUACCGAUGGCGAAGGCAGCCUCNUGGGAUAACACUGACGUUCAUGCCCGAAAGCGUGGGUAGCAAACAGGAUUAGAUACCCUGGUAGUCCACGCCCUAAACGAUGUCGAUUAGCUGUUGGGCAGCAUGACUGCUUAGUAGCGAAGCUAACGCGUGAAAUCGACCGCCUGGGGAGUACGGUCGCAAGAUUAAAACUCAAAGGAAUUGACGGGGACCCGCACAAGCGGUGGAUGAUGUGGAUUAAUUCGAUGCAACGCGAAGAACCUUACCUGGUCUUGACAUGUACGGAACCCUCCAGAGACGGAGGGGUGCCUUCGGGAGCCGUAACACAGGUGCUGCAUGGCUGUCGUCAGCUCGUGUCGUGAGAUGUUGGGUUAAGUCCCGCAACGAGCGCAACCCUUGUCAUUAGUUGCCAUCAUUAAGUUGGGCACUCUAAUGAGACUGCCGGUGACGAGCCGGAGGAAGGUGGGGAUGACGUCAAGUCCUCAUGGCCCUUAUGACCAGGGCUUCACACGUCAUACAAUGGUCGGUACAGAGGGUAGCCAAGCCGCGAGGUGGAGCCAAUCUCACAAAACCGAUCGUAGUCCGGAUUGCACUCUGCAACUCGAGUGCAUGAAGUCGGAAUCGCUAGUAAUCGCAGGUCAGCAUACUGCGGUGAAUACGUUCCCGGGUCUUGUACAC
rnacentral:rRNA from 1 species